UACAGAGGUCUCAAGCGUUGUUCGGAAUCACUGGGCGUAAAGGGUGCGUAGGCCGCACGGUAAGUCAGGUGUGAAAGCCCGGAGCUCAACUUCGGAAUUGCACCCGAUACUGCCGUGCUUGAGGACUGGAGAGGAGUCUGGAAUUCACAGUGGAGCAGUGAAAUGCGUAGAUAUUGUGAGGAACUAGUGGCGAAGGCGAG
rnacentral:rRNA from 1 species